AUUGAACGCUGGCGGCAGGCCUAACACAUGCAAGUCGAGCGGUAGAGAGGAGCUUGCUUCUCUUGAGAGCGGCGGACGGGUGAGUAAUGCCUAGGAAUCUGCCUGGUAGUGGGGGAUAACGUUCGGAAACGGACGCUAAUACCGCAUACGUCCUACGGGAGAAAGCAGGGGACCUUCGGGCCGUGCGCUAUCAGAUGAGCCUAGGUCGGAUUAGCUAGUUGGUGAGGUAAUGGCUCACCAAGGCGACGAUCCGUAACUGGUCUGAGAGGAUGAUCAGUCACACUGGAACUGAGACACGGUCCAGACUCCUACGGGAGGCAGCAGUGGGGAAUAUUGGACAAUGGGCGAAAGCCUGAUCCAGCCAUGCCGCGUGUGUGAAGAAGGUCUUCGGAUUGUAAAGCACUUUAAGUUGGGAGGAAGGGUUGUAGAUUAAUACUCUGCAAUUUUGACGUUACCGACAGAAUAAGCACCGGCUAACUCUGUGCCAGCCGCCGCCGUAA
rnacentral:rRNA from 1 species